rnacentral:rRNA from 1 species
UACGUAGGGGGCGAGUAUUGUUCGGAAUUACUGGGCAUAAAGGGUGCGUAGGCGGGAUAUCAAGCAGGAUGUGAAAUCUAAUGGCUCAACCAUUAAAUUGCAUUCUGAACUGGUAUUCUUGAGUGCAGCAGGGGAGUGCAGAAUUCCCGGUGUAGGGGUGAAAUCUAUAGAUAUCGGGAAGAAUACCGGUCGCGAAGGCGGCACUCUGGGCUGUAACUGACGCUGAGGCACGAAAGCGUGGGUAU